UGAACCUAUAAAAAGGUAUCACUUGCUCUAAUAUCCGUCAGUUCAUUUUCAAGUUGAAAGUGCUAUAAAUAAAGCUUAUGCUAUAUUUUUAUACAUCAAAAAUGGGGAAAAAACACAAUGGUUGUUUAAUUCCUUGUACUAUUUGCUCAUUUGAUUAUUCCAAGAAUGUUUAAUUGUCACAUUCUAGAUCAUCAAAUUAAGACAAUGUCAACUGUAUGAGCUAGCUCAGGAAAUCAUGUUUACUUUAUAAGACCAUGAAGCCAACUCUUGGGAUCAAUAUGUAAGAAUGAUCAAAGAAAAUAAGCAUGGAUUGUUCAAAAGCUUGUCUUUAUUUGUGCCAUUUGUAUGGCAUUAAACAAGUUUGAUCAUCCAAUCAAAUAAAACUAGAAAUUUCGUCACUCAAACUUUUCAAGAAUGUUGCAUACGUAUUUGUGUUAGACUCUCUCAAAGAUCACUACUUUUGGAGAAUUUAACAUAUAAUGGAAACAUUUUUUAAAAUUUCAAGUAUUAUAAAUUAAAAAAAAGUCACAAAAAAAGAAGAAGAGAACUUUUGAU